UUGGCUUUACCCGAAGGUGGUGCGCUAACCCGCAAGGGAGGCAGGCGACCACGGUGGGAUCAGCGACUGGGGUGAAGUCGUAACAAGGUAGCCGUAGGUGAACCUGCAGAAGGAUCA
rnacentral:rRNA from 1 species